UUUUUUUCUUUUUUUCAUUUUUUUUUUCUUUUAAAAUUUUCCAUUUUAAGUUGGUUAUUUCUGAUUUAUAUUUAAAAGCAAAUAAUAAUGAUAUGGUAGGAGAUACACACCAAACAGGAUGUGUAAAUUAUUAUAUAAUAAGUAUUGUGCAAUAGCAAGAAAUUUUCAAUUGCAUUGCACAAUAGCAAGAAAUCUUCAAUUGCACAGUAUUGCGCAAUAGCAAGAAAUCUUCAAUUGCACAGUAUUGCGCAAUAGCAAGAAAUAUCCAAUAGCACAAUAUUGCGCAAUAGCAAGAAAUUGUCAAUUGUACAGUAUUGCGCAAUAGCAAGAAAUAUUCAAUUGCACAGUAUUGUGCAAAAGAAGAUACUUCGUAUAAAUUGCUUAUUUCUUGAUCAAUUUCAAUGGGGUUUUAUUCUUGAAUUCUUGGGGUUCUUUAAUAUGCUGAAUCUAACCGUGUAUUAGGUUUUUGGAUUUUUGGCCCCGUUUUUAAAUUGGUCCACAUUGAGGUCCAAAGGGUCCAAAAUUUAACUUUGUUUGAUUUCAUCAAAAAUUGAAUUAUUGGGGUUCUUUGAUAUGCCGAAUCUAAUCGUGUAUUUAGAUUCUUAAUUUUUGGUUCCGUUUUCAAAUUGGUCUACAUUAAGGUCCAAAGGGUCCAAAAUUAAAAUUAGUUUGAUUUUAACAAAAAUUGAAUUUUUAGGGUUCUUUGAUAUGCUGAAUCUAAACAUGUAUUUAGAUUUUUGAUUAUGGGCCCAGUUUUCAAGUUGGUCCAAAUCGGGGUCCAAAAUUAAACUUUGUUUGAUUUCAACAAAAAUUGAAUAUACGGGGUUCUUUGAUAUGCUGAAUCUAACCAUGUAUUUAGAUUUUUGAUUUUUGGGCCCCGUUAUCAACUUUGUCCACAUUGAGGCCAAAAGGGUCCAAAAUUAAACUUUGUUUGAUUUCAUCAAAAAUUGAAUUCUUGGGGUUCUUUGAUAUGCUGAAUCUAACCAUGUAUUUAGAUUUUGGAUAUUUGACCAUAAUAGGUGAAUGUCCAAUUUAAAAUUUUUAAGUUCUUAGACCACAUUCAUUUUGUGUCAGAAACCUAUGCUGUGUCAAAUAUUUAAUCACAAUCCAAAUUCAGAGCUGUAUCAAGCUUGAAUGUUGUGUCCAUACUUGCCCCAACUGUUCAGGGUUCGACCUCUGCGGUCGUAUCAAGCUGCGCCCUGUGGAGCAUUUUAUUGAUGAAGUUGAAGUCCAAUCAAUCAACUUGAAACUUAGUACACAUGUUCCCAUGAUAUGAUCUUUCUAAUUUUAAUGCCAAAUUAGAGUUUUGACCCCAAUUUCACGGUCCACUGAACAUAGAAAAUGAUUGUGCGAGUGGGGCAUCCGUUUCUAUGGACAUGCACAUUCUUGUUCAAAAUUCACUUAUAAUUACUUCACAUGCUUUAAUAUUUGGUUGAUAAAUAGUUUAUUUAUAGUUAUUAUUUACAGAAUGUUAAUAUGUUUAAUAAAUGCCAGGUUUGGUUGAUAAAUAGUUUAUUUAUAGUUUUAUUUUUUUUACAGAAUGUCAAUUUGUAUAAAUGCCUGAUUUUUGCCAAAUUAUUUUUAAAAAGGAUUUUUCAAAAAAAAUUUAUAUCAUAUUGAUAUCUAGUUAGGUUAUUACUCUUCAACUGCAACAAGUUUUUUACAGUGGAUUCCUUUACUUAAAUCAUAACUUAAAACCAGGAAAUAUCUGAUGUCCAGCUGCUAACAACAUGGUGUUCCCCAAAUCGUUCAUUAUGUUGAGAAAUUACACACAUGUCAAACCAGAUAUUGGUGGGUGUCUUCCAAGUUUUUGCCAUUCUUUAUUUUCAAUGCAUGGAGAACAACCCUAUCUUAAUGUUUAGUUUCAAUGCACAGAGAACAACCCUAGCUUAAUGUUUAGUUUCAAUGCUAACAUCCCUGUCUUAAUGUUUAGUUUUAAUGCUAACAGCCCUAUCUCAAUGUUAAGUUUCAAUACACGGAGAACAACCCUGUCUUAAUGUUUAGUUUCAAUGCAUGGAGAACAACCCUGUCUUAAUGUUUAGUUUCAAUGCAUUGAGAACAACCCUAUCUUAAUGUUUAGUUUCAAUGCAUGGAGAACAACCCUGUCUUAAUGUUUAGUUUCAAUGCAUGGAGAACAACCCUGUCUUAAUGUUUAGUUUCAAUGCAUUGAGAACAACCCUAUCUUAAUGUUUAGUUUCAAUGCAUGGAGAGCAGCUCUGUCUUAAUGUUUAGUUUCAAUGCAUGGAGAACAACCCUGUCUUAAUGUUUAGUUUCAAUGCAUGGAGAACAACCCUAGCUCAAUGUUUAGUUUCAAUGCUAACAGCCCUGUCUUAAUGUUUAGUGUCAAUGCAUUGAGAACAACCCUGUCUUAAUGUUUAGUUUCAAUGCAUGGAGAACAACCCUAGCUCAAUGUUUAGUUUCAAUGCUAACAGCCCUGUCUUAAUAUUUAGUUUCAAUGCAUUGAGAACAACCCUGUCUUAAUGUUUAGUUUCAAUGCAUUGAGAGCAGCCCUGUCUUAAUGUUUAGUUUCAAUGCAUUGACAACAACCCUAGCUUAAUGUUUAGUUUCAAUGCUAACAUCCCUGUCUUAAUGUUUAGUUUUAAUGCUAACAGCCCUAUCUCAAUGUUUAGUUUCAAUGCACGGAGAACAACCCUGUCUUAAUGUUUAGUUUCAAUGCAUGGAGAACAACCCUGUCUUAAUGUUUAGUUUCAAUGCAUUGAGAACAACCCUAUCUUAAUGUUUAGUUUCAAUGCAUGGAGAGCAGCCCUGUCUUAAUGUUUAGUUUCAAUGCAUGGAGAACAACCCUAGCUCAAUGUUUAGUUUCAAUGCUAACAGCCCUGUCUUAAUGUUUAGUGUCAAUGCAUUGAGAACAACCCUGUCUUAAUGUUUAGUUUCAAUGCAUUGAGAACAACCCUGUCUUAAUGUUUAGUUUCAAUGCAUUGAGAGCAGCCCUGUCUUAAUGUUUAGUUUCAAUGCAUUGAGAGCAGCCCUCUCUUAAUGUUUAGUUUCAAUGCAUUGACAACAACCCUGUCUUAAUGUUUAGUUUCAAUGCAUGGAGAACAACCCUAACUCAAUGUUUAGUUUCAAUGCUAACAGCCAUGUCUUAAUGUUUAGUUUCAAUGCUAACAGCCCUGUCUUAAUGUUUAGUUUCAAUGCUAACAGCCCUGUCUUAUUUUUUAGUUUCAAUGCAUGGAGAAUAUGUGUUUUUCUAUGUUGUGAUGUUAUACUAUUGUUUCAGAAAAGGGAGAAGGUUUGGUACCAUUAAAACGUUUAAUUCCGCAGUAAAUGUUAUCCAUUAGUUUGAUGUGUUUGGUUUUUUUUUAUUUUGCCAUUUGAUUGGGGACUUUCCUUUUUGAAUUUUCCUCGGAGUUCAGUAUUUUUGUGAUUUUACUUUUUUUUUGCACCUGUCCUAAGUCAGGUAUCUGAUUACAGUAGUUGUCGUCUGUUUAUGUAGUUCAUACGUGUUUGUUGUUUCUCGUUUUUAUAUAGAUUAGACCGUUGGUUUUUCCGUUUGAAUGGUUUUACACUAGUAAUUUUUUGGGGCCCUUUAUAGCUUGCUGUUCGGUGUGAGCCAAUGCUCCGUGUUGAAGGCCGUACCUUGACCUAUAAUGGUUUACUUUUAUAAAUUGUAACUUGGAUGGAGAGUUGUCUCAUUGGCACUCAUACCAUAUCUUCCUAUAUCUAUGUUUAGUUUCAAAAAGUAAAAUCACAAUUCAUUGAGAACAGCCCUGUAUUAAUGUUUAGUUUCAAUGCAUGGAGAACAUGUUUAGUUUCAAUGCAAGGAGAACAAGUCUGUCUUAAUGUUUAGUUUCAAUGCAUGAACAACAGCCCUGUCUUAAUGUUUAGUUUCAUUGCAUGGAGAACAACCCUGUCUUAAUGUUUAGUUUCAAUGCAUGGAGAACAGCCCUGUCUUAAUGUUUAGUUUCAAUGCAUGGAGAACAACCCUAGCUUAAUGUUUAGUUUCAAUGCUUGUAGACCAUGUUUAGUUUCAAUGCAUGGAGAGCAGCCCUGUCUUCAUGUUUAGUUUCAAUGCAUGGAGAACAACCCUGUCUUAAUGUUUAGUUUCAAUGCAUGGAGAACAACCCUGUCUUAAUGUUUAGUUUCAAUGCAUGGAGAACAACCCUGUCUUUAUGUUUAGUUUCAAUGCAUGGAGAACAACCCUGUCUUAAUGUUUAGUUUCAAUGCAUGGAGAACAACCCUGUCUUAAUGUUUAGUUUCAAUGCAUGGAGAACAACCCUGUCUUAAUGUUUAAGUUCAAUGCAUGGAGAACAACCCUAGCUUAAUGUUUAGUUUCAAUGCUUGUAGACCAUGUUUAGUUUCAAUGCAUGGAGAGCAGCCCUGUCUUAAUGUUUAGUUUCAAUGCAUGGAGAACAACCCUGUCUUAAUGUUUAGUUUCAAUGCAUGGAGAACAGCCCUGUAUGCGCUAGAAAAUUUCUAUAGUCAGAUUGAUAUGAGAUCUUUGGAGGCUAGAAAAGUAUUAAAUUGUUACACGUCAUAUUCUUUCUAUUGUAUUCUCCCAUAAAGCUGGUUGUCUGUUGUAAGCUUGUGUUGAAAGAUUUAUAUUUUCGUUCUAUAAAUGUGCCAUUUGUUUUAGAACAAGACCCUUUGCUAUUCUUUACUUUAUUCAAAUACAAAUAUGUAUUUUCUAUGCCAAAGAAAUGCUCAAUUGCACAGAUCAAACUACAGUGUUGUCAUAGAGGUUGUAGAGAAGCCGAUUCUCCAAAUAGACAUGCUAUUUUUAGAUCACCUGGCCCAGAGGGCCAAGUGAGCUUUUCUCAUCACUUGGCGUCUGUCGUCCGUCGUCAUUAACUUUUUACAUUUUGAACUUCUUCUAGAGAACCACUGAAUGGAAUGAAACCAAACAUGGCAUGAAUGUUCCUUAUCAGGUGCUGACCAAGUGUUGUUACUUUGUAGCCGAUCCAUCAUCCAAGAUGGCCGCCAGCGGGGGACUUAGUUUAACAUAGGACCCUAUGGGAAAUACAUACAAAUGUCUUCUUUUAGAGAACCACUGAAUGGAAUGGAACCAAACAUGGCAUGAAUGUUCCUUAUGAGGUGCUGACCAAGUGUUGUUACUUUGCAGUCGAUCCAUCAUCCAAGAUGGCCGCCAGCGGGGGACUAAUUUAACUUGGGACCCUAUGGGAAAUACAUACACGUCUUCUUUUAGAGAACCACUGAAUGGAAUGAAACCAAACAUGGCAUGAAUGUUCCUUAUGAGGUGCUGACCAAGUGUUGUUACUUUGCAGCCAAUCCAUCAUCCAAUAUGGCCGCCAGUGGGUGACUUAGUUUAACAUAGGACCCUAUGGGAAAUACAUACAAAUGUCUUCUUUUAGAGAACCACUAAAUGGAAUGAAACCAAACAUGGCAUGAAUGUUCCUUAUGAGGUGCUGACCAAGUGUUGUUACUUUGCAGUCGGUCCAUCAUCCAAGAUGGCCGACAGCGGGGGACUUAGUUUAACAUAGGACCCUAUGGGAAAUACAUACAAAUGUCUUCUUUUAGAGAACCACUGAAUGGAAUGGAACCAAACAUGGCAUGAAUGUUCCUUAUGAGGUGCUGACCAAGUGUUGUUACUUUGCAGUCGGUCCAUCAUCCAAGAUGGCCGACAGCGGGGGACUUAGUUUAAUAUAGGACCCUAUGGGAAAUACAUACAAAUGUCUUCUUUUAGAAAACCACUGAAUGGAAUGGAACCAAACAUAGCAUGAAUGUUCCUUAUGAGGUGCUGACCAAGUGUUGUUACUUUGCAGCCGAUCCAUCAUCCAAGAUGGCCGCCAGGGGGGGACUUAGUUUAACAUAGGACCCUAUGGGAAAUACAUACAAAUGUCUUCUUUUAAAGUACCACUGAAUGGAAUGAAACCAAACAUGGCAUGAAUGUUCCCUAUGAGGUGCUGACCAAGUGUUGCUUCUUUGUUGCCGAUUUACUGUUCAAGAUGGCCACCAGGAUAUUUUAUUAAAUAACGGGACCAAUAUUAAACCAAAUUUGGCCUCAAUCAUUAUUUGGGUAUCUGUUAUGAUUUUUAUCUAUCUUUACAUGAUUUCUUAAACCAAAGUAUAGUCAGGUGAGCGACACAGGCUCUUGAGAGCCUCUAGUUUUAUAAUGUUAAAUUAGUUUUGCAAAGACACAAACAAAUGUAUUCAAUAAGUUUUUCCCGUAUGUACAAGACAUGCUUUGUAUUGAAGUAACUAAGGUGAUAUAACUGUAAACAGGAACAUUUUUUAUGAUGUUUCUGUUUUACUGUUAUCAUAUAUUAAAUUAUAGAUUUAUGAUACACUACAGGUCACUAGCUGUAGAUAACGUACAAAUAAAAUAAAAAAUGGAAACGGAGAAUGUUUCAAAGAGCAGAAAACAGCCAUAGGCCAAAUACAUGUUUUGUCUUGUGGCAUUCAUAAAAAAACUUUAGAUAUUUAAACCUUUAUUUAAAUGAUCAGAAACCAGUGAUUUUUGAUAACUUAGAUAUAUGUACAAAGUAAUUGUUUGUUGGUAUUAUGAAGCAAUGAAUGCAUGUUGAUAUCAAAUUACACAUUAAAUAGUUGCUGAGA